UACGUAGGGUGCGAGCGUUGCCCGGAUUUAUUGGGCGUAAAGAGCUCGUAGGCGGCUCAGUAAGUCGGGUGUGAAACCUCCAGGCUCAACCUGGAGACGCCACUCGAUACUGCUGUGGCUUGAGUCCGGUAGGGGAGCACGGAAUUCCUGGUGUAGCGGUGAAAUGCGCAGAUAUCAGGAGGAACACCAGUGGCGGAAGGCGGUGCUCUGGGCCGGAACUGACGCUGAGGAGCGAAAGCGUGGGGAGCAACAGG
rnacentral:rRNA from 1 species